rnacentral:tRNA from 1 species
GCCUGGGUAGCUCAGUGAGUUAAGCGUCCGACUUCAGCUCAGGUCAUGAUCUCACAGUUCGUGGGUUUGAGCCCCACAUCAGGCU